rfam:Hordeum vulgare subsp. vulgare, WGS project CAJW01000000 data, contig: morex_contig_39227
AGAGUACUUCCUCCGUCCCAAAAUUCUUGUGUUAGAUUUGUCUAGAUAUGAAUGUAUCUAGUCACAUUUUAGUAUUUUAAUACAUUCAUUUUUAGACAAACCUAAUACAAGAAUUUUGGGACGGAGGGGUAUUUG